CAGCCGCCGCGUAAAACGUAGGGUGCGAGCGUUAAUCGGAAUUACUGGGCGUAAAGCGUGCGUAGGCGGUUUGUUAAGUCUGUUGUGAAAUCCCCGGGCUCAACCUGGGAAUGGCAAUGGAUACUGGCAAGCUAGAGUGUGUCAGAGGAUGGUGGAAUUCCCGGUGUAGCGGUGAAAUGCGUAGAGAUCGGGAGGAACAUCAGUGGCGAAGGCGGCCAUCUGGGACAACACUGACGCUGAGGCACGAAAGCGUGGGGAGCAAACAGGAUUAGAUACCCCUGUAGUCCCUGUCUCUUAUACC
rnacentral:rRNA from 1 species